rnacentral:rRNA from 1 species
GACGAACGCUGGCGGCGUGCUUAACACAUGCAAGUCGUACGGUAAGGCCCUUUCGGGGGUACACGAGUGGCGAACGGGUGAGUAACACGUGAGUAACCUGCCCACAACUUUGGGAUAACGCUAGGAAACUGGUGCUAAUACUGGAUAUGUGCUCCUGCUGCAUGGUGGGGGUUGGAAAGCUCCGGCGGUUGUGGAUGGACUCGCGGCCUAUCAGCUUGUUGGUGGGGUAGUGGCCUACCAAGGCGGCGACGGGUAGCCGGCCUGAGAGGGUGACCGGCCACAUUGGGAUUGAGAUACGGCCCAGACUCCUACGGGAGGCAGCAGUGGGGAAUAUUGCACAAUGGGCGCAAGCCUGAUGCAGCAACGCCGCGUGCGGGAUGACGGCCUUCGGGUUGUAAACCGCUUUCAGCAGGGACGAAGCUUUUUGUGACGGUACCUGCAGAAGAAGCACCGGCUAACUACGUG